GCGAGACAGGCUGACAUCCCUUGUAGCCUUGGGACUCCUCACAAGCCAUUUGGCAAACUGGGUCAGUCUACUUUUAAAGGCAGAGCGAGCAGAUGGUUUGCCUACAGGGUUGCCACGGCAUCAGUGACUCAUCAUUCAUGACGGAGGUUCCCUCGGUCCGAUGUCGACACUACUGCAUAUUACACUGACCUGGGAACAGUGCCUGGCACAAUAGUGAGCGGUGUGACCAGACAGCACUGACCUGAGGUCAUGGCCAGGCUUAGAGGACGUCACAUGAUCCCAUCCGAGAGCUAAUGUCCUUGUAAUGGAAUUUGUUUUAAAUAAAAGGCCGGUGGCUUACAGAGAUAAGGACUCUUGUUUUGUCAGACAUCUGUAAUGCUGUAAUGCAACAAUGUCAUGUCUGAACUCUAUUGAACUCUGUAAGAGGAGC